AUUGAACGCUGGCGGCAGGCCUAACACAUGCAAGUCGAGCGGAUGAAGGGAGCUUGCUCCUGGAUUCAGCGGCGGACGGGUGAGUAAUGCCUAGGAAUCUGCCUGGUAGUGGGGGAUAACGUCCGGAAACGGGCGCUAAUACCGCAUACGUCCUGAGGGAGAAAGUGGGGGAUCUUCGGACCUCACGCUAUCAGAUGAGCCUAGGUCGGAUUAGCUAGUUGGUGGGGUAAAGGCCUACCAAGGCGACGAUCCGUAACUGGUCUGAGAGGAUGAUCAGUCACACUGGAACUGAGACACGGUCCAGACUCCUACGGGAGGCAGCAGUAGGGAAUAUUGGGCAAUGGGCGAAAGCCUGAUCCAGCCAUGCCGCGUGUGUGAAGAAGGUCUUCGGAUUGUAAAGCACUUUAAGUUGGGAGGAAGAACAGUAAGUUAAUACCUUGCUGUUUUGACGUUACCAACAGAAUAAGCACCGGCUAACUUCGUG
rnacentral:rRNA from 1 species